GAUGAACGCUGGCGGCGUGCCUAAUACAUGCAAGUCGAGCGAACGGACGAGAAGCUUGCUUCUCUGAUGUUAGCGGCGGACGGGUGAGUAACACGUGGAUAACCUACCUAUAAGACUGGGAUAACUUCGGGAAACCGGAGCUAAUACCGGAUGAUAUUUUGAACCGCAUGGUUCAAAAGUGAAAGACGGUCUUGCUGUCACUUAUAGAUGGAUCCGCGCUGCAUUAGCUAGUUGGUAAGGUAACGGCUUACCAAGGCAACGAUGCAUAGCCGACCUGAGAGGGUGAUCGGCCACACUGGAACUGGGACACGGUCCAGACUCCUACGGGAGGCAGCAGUAGGGAAUCUUCCGCAAUGGGCGAAAGCCUGACGGAGCAACGCCGCGUGAGUGAUGAAGGUCUUCGGAUCGUAAAACUCUGUUAUUAGGGAAAAACAUAUGUGUAAGUAACUGUGCACAUCUUGACGGUACCUAAUCAGAAAGCCACGGCUAACUACGUG
rnacentral:rRNA from 1 species